CACCUAUUUAUUAAGUUCUAGUUAGGUAGUUAUUAAUAGGCAUAUCUAUUAUAAAUCACCAGUCUGCUCUAAAAGUCUGAACUUACUCAUGUUAAAUUGCUUUCUGGUUAAGAAUAUGGAACAUUUGAUUUUGUUUGCCUUUUAUUUAUUUGAACAUUGUAGGGCAUGUUAAGAAAAAUAUUGACUGGUCUUUAAAACUACAGUGGUCAUAAAUAAGUCAAUUAGAUUUGCUGUAUUUAGUUAAUUCAGACCUUGUUGCUUUGUUAGUAGUUAAAUUUAAUUUGAAGUUACUUUAGGAUAAGUGAUAAUCUAGUCAACAAAAAAGCCCCAAAUGAGAGGGGAAAGAUCAAACAAAAUGUGUAUUCAAUUGCUUUGUUAGUGUCAGUUUCUUCAGCUUGCCU
rnacentral:lncRNA from 1 species